AACGAACGCUGGCGGCAUGCCUAACACAUGCAAGUCGAACGAGACCUUCGGGUCUAGUGGCGCACGGGUGCGUAACGCGUGGGAAUCUGCCCUCAGGUACGGAAUAACUCAGGGAAACUUGAGCUAAUACCGUAUAAUGACUUCGGUCCAAAGAUUUAUCGCCUGGGGAUGAGCCCGCGUCGGAUUAGCUAGUUGGUGAGGUAAAGGCUCACCAAGGCGACGAUCCGUAGCUGGUCUGAGAGGAUGAUCAGCCACACUGGGACUGAGACACGGCCCAGACUCCUACGGGAGGCAGCAGUGGGGAAUAUUGGACAAUGGGCGCAAGCCUGAUCCAGCAACGCCGCGUGAGUGAUGAAGGCCUUAGGGUUGUAAAGCUCUUUUACCCGGGAAGAUAAUGACUGUACCGGGAGAAUAAGCCCCGGCUAACUCCGUGCCAGCAGCCGCGGUAAUACGGAGGGGGCUAGCGUUGUUCGGAAUUACUGGGCGUAAAGCGCACGUA
rnacentral:rRNA from 1 species